rnacentral:tRNA from 1 species
GCCUGGGUGGCUCAGUCGGUUAAGCAUCUGACUUUGGCUCAGGUCAUGAUCUCACAGUUUGUGAGUUUGAGCCCCGCAUCAGGCU